UGGGGAAUAUUGCACAAUGGGGGAAACCCUGAUGCAGCGACGCCGCGUGAACGAAGAAGGUAUUCGUAUCGUAAAGUUCUGUCCUAUGGGAAGAUAAUGACAGUACCAUAGAAGAAAGCUCCGGCUAAAUACGUGCCAGCAGCCGCGGUAAUACGUAUGGAGCGAGCGUUGUCCGGAAUUAUUGGGCGUAAAGGGUACGCAGGCGGUUUAAUAAGUCGAAUGUUAAAGAUCGGGGCUCAACCCCGUAAAGCAUUAGAAACUGAUAAACUUGAGUAGUGGAGAGGAAAGUGGAAUUCCUAGUGUAGUGGUGAAAUACGUAGAUAUUAGGAGGAAUACCAGUAGCGAAGGCGACGUUCUGGACACAAACUGACGCUGAGGUACGAAAGCGUGGGGAGCAAACAGG
rnacentral:rRNA from 1 species